rnacentral:rRNA from 1 species
GACGAAGGGGGCUAGCGUUGUUCGGAAUUACUGGGCGUAAAGCGCGUGUAGGCGGUUGUUCAAGUCGGGUGUGAAAGCCUUGAGCUCAACUCAAGAAAUGCACUCGAUACUGGAUGACUAGAGGACCGGAGAGGAUAGUGGAAUUCCCAGUGUAGUGGUGAAAUACGUAGAGAUUGGGAAGAACACCAGUGGCGAAGGCGGCUCACUGGCCCGGUACUGACGCUGAGGCGCGAAAGCGUGGGGAGCAAACAGG